ACUUGAUAUGUGGACUUGCUGUAAAUAUGGACCGACAGCAAUAUGUAGGCUUUAGAUGGGCAUGCAGUGAGUUUCAUGUUGCCCAUAAGACCUACUGCCAUUU